UACGAGAGGCCCAAACGUUAUUCGGAAUUACUGGCUUAAAGAGUUCGUAGGCGGCGCAGAAAGUAGGGUGUGAAAGCCCUCGGCUCAACCGAGGAAUUGCGCUCUAAACUACUGUGCUUGAGGAAGCUAGAGGUGAGCAGAACAGAUGGUGGAGCGGUGAAAUGCGUUGAUAUCAUCUGGAAUACCGGAGGCGAAGGCGGCUCACUGGGGCUUUUCUGACGCUGAGACGCGAAAGCGUGGGGAGCGAACAGG
rnacentral:rRNA from 1 species